CUAGAGUAAAAAGAGUCAAGCUGCAGGUGACACAGCAGGUGGUAUCAGCCGACUUCUUAGACAGAUUCAUAGGGUGCUAUGAGGGUAAAGAGGAGGGAAUGAAGUAGAAUGAGGUAGUAAAGACCAUUAUUAGAUGUUGAUCUAGUGGCUUAUUUUCUCAGUUACUUAAAGCUCUACUUGUAUGGCCUAUUUGUCAAAGGAUAACUUCAAGUGGAACAAAAUGAUCCUAAAACGUAACUGAAAAAGAAAAAGGCCAUUGCCCUUAAUGACCUGCUGACUACUUCUGUAUUUUACAUAGCUUCUGUAAAAUCUUGCUUGCUUGACUGCCCAAGCUUGUCAUUUUAGAGUAUAAAGUGGACAUACAAACUGGACUUGGGACCACAACCUUUCAGGAGUUUUCUGUGCUUCAGUCCACCAGUGACACUCCUCUGUUCCACUCUCAUUGUUGUUGGAGUACUUACUUAUUCCAGAAAGAUCACUGCAACACUGCUUGAAAACUCUGAAAGGUGGGCUCUUAGCAGCCUCCUCGGGAGCAUAGACGGGCCACUUCCAUUCAACACUUGAGUGAGCCAGGCCACUUGGGCAGCCUCACUGAAGCCCACAACUGUGUCAAGAUGACUGACAAUAUCUUCUUGUUUGAGGGGAUCCAGAUGGUGUCUGACUUCCUUAGUGUGGAGUCUCUGUCUUUUGCU